rnacentral:rRNA from 1 species
AAUUUUGGACAAUGGGGGCAACCCUGAUCCAGCCAUCCCGCGUGUGCGAUGAAGGCCUUCGGGUUGUACAGCACUUUUGGCAGGGACGAAAAGGCUCUGGCUAAUACCUGGAGCUGCUGACGGUACCUGCAGCAUAAGCACCGGCUAACUACGUGCCAGCAGCCGCGGUAAUACGUAGGGUGCAAGCGUUAAUCGGAAUUACUGGGCGUAAAGCGUGCGCAGGCAGUUCGGCAAGAAGGAUGUGAAAUCCCAGGGCUUAACCUUGGAACUGCAUUCUUAACUGCCGGGCUAGAGUAUGUCAGAGGGGGGUAGAAUUCCGCGUGUAGCAGUGAAAUGCGUAGAGAUGCGGAGGAAUACCGAUGGCGAAGGCAGCCCCCUGGGAUAAUACUGACGCUGAGGCACGAAGGCUAGGGGAGCAAAC